UGGAUUGUGACAUAGCUACAAUGGUCGCUGUGGGCGAUGGCAAGUUUCAGUGAACACAACCUGAGGUCUGGGAACCUGCUACAUUGAGCUCUGGAGGCUCAGGGCUCAUUCUGGAAGGUUCUGAGCUGCCCUGACACAUGCAGACACGGGGUGUGCAAGUCUGAGGUUAUCUCUGGUGUUCCGCUGUGAUGAGACAGCCACUCCUGCGGGGCUCCAGCGGAAGGACUGUACAGAUGCUGUGACUGACAUGGCGAUGGGACUCUGUGGACCUGUGGAUCACUGCUUGGGAGGUGGAGGACAUGACUUCCAACUUCACAGACACUACCCUGCUUUGACUCCAAGUUUGUCUAUCACCAUGACAAGUACAGAUGUGGUCUAUGAGUAAUUUUAAAGACAACCGCCAUGAAGACCAGGAAGGAGAGAGCUGACUCUACAGACAGGAGCUGCAUGGGAUGAGAAGUGGAAUUCCAGGUGUGUGUGGAGGACAGCAUCUGACCUUGACCUUGAAAGGACCCAUAAAGGGUUUUGAGAAUGGAACAUUACUAUGACUGAUUUCUUUAAAAACAAACACACAAACAAACGAAUGAAUACAAUAGUGAUACAGAGUUAGAAGACUGGGCGAUGAUACCAACCCUUGGCUUUGGUUGGCAUAGGUGUGCCAAUCAACCUGGUCUCACCACUACCUAGAUGUACAUUCCACCAUUCCACUUGAUAGGUCAUCCCACUUGACUCUUUUCUUCCCUUUUAAUGGAAUAUGGAAUUCUAAGAGUGAGUAGCAUGCACACCUCUCCCUGUUUCCCUCUGUGGAUUAGUGCUGUGUUGAGGACGUUGGCUCAGAAUGCACUGUGGACCAGUGACUUGCUCACACACUCACCUUUAAAAAUGGGCCCUGCUUCACGUCAGGUUAGCAGUAGGUAUGUAGACAUAAGAUUUACUGGGCCCCAUGACCAUAUCUGAAGGACCUGUAUCAUUGCUGCCCUCUUCUUGAGAGCCCCUGCUACAUGCGAUGCGAUUGCUAUCGAUACACAAGGAGCCCAUGGUAUUGCAGCUUCAUUGAAAUCUUCAUGCUGUGAAAUCUAAUUUGUCCAAUACCCGGAUCCAUCACUCACACCAGCCCUUUCUCAACUGCUAUAAAACUUCCAAACCCAUAGAUUUGUCUCCAACAAAAAUAACAUGAAGGAGCCUUGCAAUCAAUAAUGGAAUCCCUCUGAUUCUGAUACUGGCUGAGUAUUUUUUUUCCAACUUUGCCUUUGUUCUUCUGGGCAGAGCCCACAAGGGAGAAAGCUUGUUUUCACUCGCAGCCUCAUCAAUACCUAAAUCCUGGUGAACAAGUGACACCGAGAAGUUGUAAUCAAUAGCUCCCGGUGCGGUUUUUUCUUCUGGUCAAAUGGUUCAGCUCCGCUGACAACCCUGACACUCAGAACAUGAUGCUAAAUCUUUAUCAACAGCCAUCUGGGUGAAUGGCAGAACAGGACUCAGGGGUCAACGGUGCUCAUGGCAAUCUGCGAAUAAACUAACUCCUUAGGAAU
rnacentral:lncRNA from 1 species